AUUGAACGCUGGCGGCAGGCCUAACACAUGCAAGUCGAACGGUAACAGGAAGAAGCUUGCUUCUUUGCUGACGAGUGGCGGACGGGUGAGUAAUGUCUGGGAAACUGCCUGAUGGAGGGGGAUAACUACUGGAAACGGUAGCUAAUACCGCAUAACGUCGCAAGACCAAAGAGGGGGACCUUCGGGCCUCUUGCCAUCGGAUGUGCCCAGAUGGGAUUAGCUAGUAGGUGGGGUAACGGCUCACCUAGGCGACGAUCCCUAGCUGGUCUGAGAGGAUGACCAGCCACACUGGAACUGAGACACGGUCCAGACUCCUACGGGAGGCAGCAGUGGGGAAUAUUGCACAAUGGGCGCAAGCCUGAUGCAGCCAUGCCGCGUGUAUGAAGAAGGCCUUCGGGUUGUAAAGUACUUUCAGCGGGGAGGUAGGGAGUAAAGUUAAUACCUUUGCUCAUUGACGUUACCCGCAGAAGAAGCACCGGCUAACUCCGUG
rnacentral:rRNA from 1 species